CCCUUAGAUGUUCUGGGCCGCACGCGCGCUACACUGAUGCAUUCAACGAGCCUAUCCUUGGCCGACAGGUCCGGGUAAUCUUUGAAUCUGCAUCGUGACGGGGAUAGAUUAUUGCAAUUAUUAAUCUUCAACGAGGAAUGCCUAGUAGGUGCAAGUCAUCAGCUUGCGUCGAUUACGUCCCUGCCCUUUGUACACACCGCCCGUCGCUCCUACCGAUUGGGUGUGCUGGUGAAAUGUUCGGAUCGGCCGUUUGUCGCGGUUUCCGCGUCAUGUGGCUGAGAAGUUCAUUAAACCCUCCCACCUAGAGGAAGGAGAAGUCGUAACA
rnacentral:rRNA from 1 species